CGCGGGGUAGAGCAAUGGUAGCUCGUCAGGCCCAUAACCUGAAGGCUGAUGGUUCAAGUCCAUUCCCCGCAACCA
rnacentral:tRNA from 1 species